rnacentral:lncRNA from 1 species
UGACGUGUGCUUGUGAGGUUCAGCAAGAUCCCCGCCCUCAAACCCAGACUGCUGUCAUGCAAGAGAGCUGCACACAUAGGGAGAAAAUAUCACACAAUAUGAAUGAUGCCUAAAUAGACUGACCAAAGAAACCAAAGAUGAGUCCAUGAGAAGCAGUUGAGAGAAGAGACAUCCAGUUGGGAAUGAUCUGUCUGAGGCUGACUUGCAUGGAAAGAGAAUAUGAAUAGGGCAGUCAUACAAGCUUUGUAUGAUCUUCCCAGACUCCAGCUAAACCUUUGCUUCUUUGGUCAACUUACCAGCAUCAGAAGUACUCAGUGGCCUGCUGGCAGAGGGACAUGGCAGCCAUAUCAUUCAUCUUCUCGUGAGCUUU